rnacentral:rRNA from 1 species
CAAAAAUUUAAUUUAAAGUAUUUAAGUAGUAUUAGUUAAGAUCUUGAAAUUUAAAAAAUUUGGCGGUAUUUUAGUCUAUUCAGAGGAACCUGUUUUGUAAUCGAUAAUCCACGAUGAAUCUCACUUAAAUUUGUUUUUAUAGUUUAUAUAUCGUUGUUUAUGGAAUAUUUUAUAAAAAUAAUAAUUUUCUUAAUUUCUAAUUAGAAAUUAUAUCAGAUCAAGAUGUAGCUUAUAUUUAAGUUUAUAAUGGGUUACAUUUAUAUUAUUAUUGGAAAUAAAUUUGUAAUAAAUUUAUUGAAAUUGGAUUUGAUAGUAAAUUUAUAAAGAUAGUUAAAUUGAUUAUAGCUCUAAAAUAUG